ACACGCGGUCUAUUUGUAGACGGUGUUGUAAUUUCUUGGCACUUGAGUUGGGGUGUAAACGUUAGGAAUUAGCCAAUGAGUGUUGAGGCGACACAGUACAGUACGUGUCUCUGAUCAAUUAAGUGAUAAACCAACACUGAACACCACCAGACAGCUAUGAUCUAUCAUGUCUGUCUGACUGCUCUCAGAUGACCAAAUUAGGACACAGACCCCGAGCAACGUGUGUGUCUCCAUGGUGACAGCAGUGUUCUCAACAUGGCGAACGCCCUGGCGAACGCGUCGUGCGAGCGCUGUAAGAGCGGCUUCGCCCCGGCAGAGAAGAUCGUCAACAGCAACGGGGAGCUGUACCACGAGGGCUGCUUUGUCUGCGCACAGUGCUUCCAGCAGUUCCCCGAGGGGCUCUUCUAUGAGUUUGAAGGCAGGAAAUACUGUGAACAUGACUUUCAGAUGCUCUUCGCUCCCUGCUGCCACCAGUGUGGGGAGUUCAUCAUUGGCCGUGUGAUCAAGGCCAUGAACAACAGCUGGCAUCCUGAUUGUUUCUGCUGUGACAUCUGCCAGGCUGUGCUCGCUGACGUCGGCUUCGUCAAGAACGCUGGCAGGCACCUGUGUCGACCCUGUCAUAACCGUGAGAAGGCUAGAGGUCUGGGGAAGUACAUCUGUCAGAAAUGCCAUGCCAUCAUCGAGGACAGCCCCCUCAUCUUUAAGAACGACCCCUACCACCCCGACCACUUCAACUGCAACAACUGUGGUAAGGAGCUGACAGCAGAUGCCAGGGAGCUGAAGGGAGAGCUGUACUGUCUGCCCUGCCAUGAUAAGAUGGGGGUGCCGAUCUGUGGCGCCUGCAGGAGGCCCAUCGAGGGACGCGUGGUCAACGCCAUGGGCAAGCAGUGGCACGUUGAGCAUUUUGUGUGUGCUAAGUGUGAGAAGCCGUUCCUUGGACACCGCCACUAUGAGAGGAAGGGUCUGGCCUACUGUGAGACCCACUACAACCAGCUCUUUGGUGAUGUGUGCUAUCACUGCAACAGAGUGAUUGAAGGAGACGUGGUGUCGGCCCUGAACAAAGCAUGGUGUGUGAACUGUUUCUCCUGCGCCACCUGCAACACCAAGCUCACCCUCAAAGACAAGUUUGUAGAGGUAGAUCUGAAGCCUGUAUGUAAGCACUGUUACGAGCGGAUGCCUGAGGAGCUGAAACGCAGACUGGCCCGACGCGAGAGGGACGCCUCAAAAGACCGCAAAAAGAAACCUGUUAUCUGUCUGUAGACUUUUCCAGUCCUCUUCCUGUCAUCUUCACUAUCCUCCUCUCGCUCAUUUCCAUCCAUGGGAACAAGUUUGUGGAGUUUGACAUGAAGCCUGUGUGUAAGAAAUGUUAUGAGAAGUUUCCUCUGGAACUGAAGAAGAGACUGAAGAAACUGGCUGAGACUGUCGGACGCAAGUAGACCUCCGAGUCCCAAGGGGGCGACACUCGACUACAUGUCCAGUAGCUUUCCCAAAGUCCCAGAAACUCUGGACAAUUCCCUGACUUUCCCGGAUGUCCUGCUUAUUCCCUAUUGAUUCUGGGGAUCUUCCAUUUCGGAGGUUUCUAGAAACCUGGGAUUUUAAGAAAGUUACUGGAGGUUUGCAGGUUAGCAACGCUGAACCCUGUAUUAACCUUAACAAGUGCCCAAAUUAGUCAAAGGAAUUGUAUAAACGUGUCAGAUUUAGACUCAAAAUCCUGUCUGUUCCAGUAUUUUAGUAUUUGACGUCCUCCGGUACUCAGUAUAACGUGUUUAAUCUUUUCUCACUUUUUAAUUGAUUAUUUUUGUGCACGUGGCUUUUGCAUGUGGAGCUGUUUUUCAGAUGUCCAGAGUCUUAUUCAAACAAUAUAGAACCUCAUUCUGCCUGACAAUGACCUAUGAAAGCAGGGAGGGGGGAAAAACGAUGUAGAACCUCAUUCUGCCUGACAAUGACCUAUGAAAUCAUGGAGGGGGGGAAAACGAUGGGUGAAAUGCAUUUAGACAUUGUUAAGAAAUAAUACAUAUAACUGAUCUGAUGUAGUUUGGCCGCGAGCGGACCAAGUGAUCAGCAUUCUAAAGGGUUAAUGACGUCUAACGAAAUACUUGCACACGGUCUUAAAGAGAUGAGAAGGUGCUUGUAGUACUCUUAAAAUAGCUUUUGUCUUGUGCCUUGGGUAUGAAUAUACACUGAGGAUACUACAUAUUUCCAUGGCAUUGACUGAUCAGGUGAAAGCUAUGAUCCCUUAUUGAUGUCUCUUCAAUCAGUAGAUGACAGAUUUAAAGGAAGGAUUUUUUUUAGCUCGGUACUAGUACUAAUGGUUGGUAAGCUCAGUGUAUAUUUUAUACUGCAUUAUAUACUGUAAGGGUGUCAGAUAAUAUGCAUGUGGUUGUCCAAUGGCAUGUGAUCCAGACUUACUACAACUGCCUUAAGCAGAGAAUAUUCCUCACUUCUGUGUAAGAAUGAGAAUUCUAGCUGUGUAUCAGAAUGUGGAGCCCAUGACUCUGGUAUGUCAUCUAGGAGUCUGGUAUAUCAUGUGUGAGUCUGGUAUAUCAUGUGUGAGUCUGGUAUAUCAUGUGUGAGUCUGGUAUAUCAUGUGUGAGUCUGGUAUAUCAUGUGUGAGUCUGGUAUAUCGUGUAUCCUAACAUUUGCUUGUAAUAAAAUAAAAUGUCAUGGGUUUGUUUGAA